UUUUUUCUUUUUUUCUUUUUUUCUUUUUUUUUUU
rnacentral:ribozyme from 14 species